rnacentral:tRNA from 1 species
UCCGAGGUAGCUCAGCGGUAGAGCAGUGAGCUGUUAACUCAUUGGUCCAGGGUUCGAAUCCCUGCCUCGGAG